rnacentral:lncRNA from 1 species
UUUGCACAUACCUUGUAAUCUGCUAAACAAAGUCCCCUGAAGCAACUGAUUCCCCAUAAUGGCAUCUCUACUGUCCAGAAUUUUCCUCACAACCCAAGAAGCAGCCUUAGGAGCGGUCAUUGUUUCAAUAGCUUCCUGUUUAAUGUAGUAGCUGUGCACCCACUUUAUCCAAAGGCAUUCCUUCUUUUUAGUUAAAUCCCAAAGAUGUUUGCAGAUUG